AGGAAAUGUUGAUGAGGAUGAUCGAUGCUAGUGAAUAUUAUCGAUUUCACCGAUAGCAGAUUAAGACAGUGAGGUUUUCAUGCAGUGAUGCGUUGGAGAAAUUUGAGAGAGCAGAGCUAAGAGUUUUUGAAGCUAGUUGGGAAGUCGUAUUACAUAGUUUGGUGCUUUUCUUGAGCCGGGUCCAUUUACUACUUUUUAUGCGGUGAAGAAGCAAAGCAGUGCGUUAUCAUUAGCUAAUGCUGAAGGCAGACUUGCAGUGGAGAAUAGUUGCUGCACAUUGAAGUACCAAAAGGAAAUGUUGAUGAGGAGAGGGUGAUCACCACUGCUGUGCAGGACGUUCAAGAUCUCCAUACUUGGAUUGUGGAAGUCAUUGACACCUUUCCUGCAGACACAUUGCAGAGAAUCUGGAUGGAAAUUGAAAACAGACUCGACAUCCUUCGUGUCAGUGCAGGGGCUCACAUGGGAGUGUUUUGAUUUGUUGUUGUUGUAAUUUUUUUUCCCCAAAACUUAUUUUCACAUACAACUUAUUUUUGUGAAAAACGAGGUUAAUUCAUUUAGUUUUGUAUAUGGAACACAUUUACAGUAGGGAAUUUUGGUGUAGACACCCUGCACAGUGUAACGUAAUCUUGAAUUACUGUAUGCCAUUUUAAGUGCAUAUUUACAUAGAUAACUCCGUAAGGAAUUGGCACUGCGUCUUCCUUCUGCAUUGUAUAAGUUUUGUUGUUUCUGUUUCAAUUAACUGUUUCUGUUGCAUAUGCACAAAUGUUUAUUAUUAUUUGUUAAUGCUCAUGAAAGUAAAUAUGUGUCUCAAGUCAGUUUUA